GACGAACGCUGGCGGCGUGCUUAACACAUGCAAGUCGAACGGUGAAGCGAGUACUUUCACUCGUUGAUCAUUGGCGAACGGGUGAGUAACACGUGAGUAACCUGCCCAUCACUCUCUGAUAAGCACUGGAAACGGUGUCUAAUACUGGAUACGACCAACCCUUCCAUGGGGUGUAGGUGGAAAGAUCGAUCUGUGUUGGAUGGUUUGGCGGCCUAGCACCUUAUUGGCGGGGUAGUGGCGCACCAAGGCGACGACGGGACGGCGGCCUGGGAAGGUGACCGGCGACACUGGGACUGAGGCAAGGCGCAGAAGGGUACGGGAGGCAGCAGUGGGGAAGAUUGCCCAAUGGGCGAAAGCCUGAUGAAGAGGCGCCAGGUGAGGGAUGACGGCCUUUGGGUGGUAAACCUCUUUCAGAAGGGAAGAAGCGAAAGUGACGGUACCUGAAGAAGAAGCACCGGCUAACUACGUG
rnacentral:rRNA from 1 species